GGAUGCGAUCAUACCAGCACUAAAGCAUCGGAUCCCAUCAGAACUCUGAAGUUAAGCGUGCUUGGGCGAGAGUAGUACUAGGAUGGGUGACCUCCUGGGAAGUCCUUGUGUUGCAUUCC
rnacentral:rRNA from 1 species